rnacentral:rRNA from 2 species
UGAGGAAUAUUGGUCAAUGGGCGAGAGCCUGAACCAGCCAAGUAGCGUGAAGGAAGACUGCCCUACGGGUUGUAAACUUCUUUUGUUUGGGAAUAAAGUGCGUCACGUGUGGCGUUUUGUAUGUACCAUUCGAAUAAGCAUCGGCUAAUUCCGUGCCAGCAGCCGCGGUAAUACGGAAGAUGCGAGCGUUAUCCGGAUUUAUUGGGUUUAAAGGGAGCGUAGGCGGGCUUUUAAGCCAGCUGUGAAAGUUUGCGGCUCAACCGUAAAAUUGCAGGUGGAACUGGGAGUCUUGAGUGUGCAUAAGGUGGAUGGAAUUCGUGGUGUAGCGGUGAAAUGCUUAGAUAUCACGAAGAACUCCGAUUGCGAAGGCAGUCCAAUGGGGCAAUACUGACGCUGAGGCUCGAAAGUGCGGGUAUCAAACAGG